UGGGGAAUCUUAGACAAUGGGGGAAACCCUGAUCUAGCCAUGCCGCGUGAGUGACGAAGGCCUUAGGGUCGUAAAGCUCUUUCGCCGGGGAUGAUAAUGACAGUACCCGGUAAAGAAACCCCGGCUGACUCCGUGCCAGCAGCCGCGGUAAUACGGAGGGGGUUAGCGUUGUUCGGAAUUACUGGGCGUAAAGCGCGCGUAGGCGGCCUGGUAAGUCUGCCGUGAAAACCUGGGGCUCAACCCUGGGCGUGCGGUGGAUACUGCUAGGCUAGAGGAUGGUAGAGGCGAGUGGAAUUCCCGGUGUAGCGGUGAAAUUCGCAGAUAUCGGGAGGAACACCAGUAGCGAAGGCGGCUCGCUGGGCCAUUCCUGACGCUGAGACGCGAAAGCGUGGGGAGCAAACAGGAUUAGAUACCCCUGUAGUCC
rnacentral:rRNA from 1 species